CCUACGGGUGGCAGCAGUCGAGAAUCAUUCACAAUGGGGGAAACCCUGAUGGUGCGACGCCGCGUGGGGGAAUGAAGGUCUUCGGAUUGUAAACCCCUGUCAUGUGGGAGCAAAUUAAAAAGAUAGUACCACAAGAGGAAGAGACGGCUAACUCUGUGCCAGCAGCCGCGGUAAUACAGAGGUCUCAAGCGUUGUUCGGAAUCCCUGGGCGUAAGGCGUGCGUAGGCUGUUUCGUAAGUCGUGUGUGAAAGGCGCGGGCUCAACCCGCGGACGGCACAUGAUACUGCGAGACUAGAGUAAUGGAGGGGGAACCGGAAUUCUCGGUGUAGCAGUGAAAUGCGUAGAGAUCGAGAGGAACACUCGUGGCGAAGGCGGGUUCCUGGACAUUAACUGACGCUGAGGCACGAAGGCCAGGGGAGCGAAAGGGAUUAGAUACCCCUGUAGUC
rnacentral:rRNA from 1 species